rnacentral:rRNA from 1 species
GGCGAUCAGAUACCGCCCUAGUUCUGACCGUAAACGAUGCCAACUAGCGAUCCGCCAGUCGACUCAUCGCUCUGGUGGGGAGCUUCCCGGAAACGAAAGUCUUCCGGUUCCGGGGGAAGUAUGGUUGCAAAGCUGAAACUUAAAGGAAUUGACGGAAGGGCACCACCAGGAGUGGAGCCUGCGGCUUAAUUUGACUCAACACGGGGAAACUCACCCGGCCCGGACACCGUAAGGAUUGACAGAUUGAUAGCUUUUUCAUGAUUCGGUGGAUGGUGGUGCAUGGCCGUUCUUAGUUCGUGGAGCGAUUUGUCUGGUUUAUUCCGAUAACGAGCGAGACUCUGGCCUACUAAAUAGUUGGCACAUUGCCACUGUGUGCACAACUUCUUAGAGGGAUUUUCGGUGUUCAGCCGCACGAAAUUGAGCAAUAACAGGUCUGUGAUGCCCUUAGAUGUCCGGGGCUGCACGCGCGCUACACUGGCAAAAUCAGCGUGCUUGUCCUCCCCCGAAAGGGGUUGGUAAACCGAUGAAAAUUUGCCGUGAUUGGGAUCGGACAUUGCAAUUAUUGUCCGUGAACGAGGAAUCCCUUGUAAGGGCGAGUCAUCAACUCGUCCUGAAUACGUCCCUGCCCUUGUA